rnacentral:rRNA from 1 species
UCUCCGUAGGUGAACCUGCGGAAGGAUCAUUC